rnacentral:tRNA from 1 species
ACAAAGAAGUAAAAUUUACACUUAGUUUCGACCUAAGAUAAAAGAAAAAAAUCUUCAUGUU